rnacentral:sRNA from 1 species
GAGGACCACCUGGCCCCAGCUCCCAGUCACAAUUUUUGCAGGGACAGAUGUUUCCUGCUCACCUCCCGCAUCCUAGUGACAGUGAGGCAUUGACCUGUGUGUGUCCCCAGGGUGGUCAUUGGGGCCUGCAGCUCCUGGCACCUGCCAGCAGGUCCAGUGUGUGUGCACAUGACUCAGCUAGGCCAACUCCAUUCAUCUCCUGGGCCUACCACCACAAUGACCACAAACCACGUGGCUUCAAACAACAGAAGUCUAUUCCCUCAACGUCCUGGGGGUCAGCAGUCCACAACCACAGUGUGGGCCGGGCCGUGCUCCUGCCAAAGGCUCUGGGGCGGAUCCUUCCUGCUCUUCCAGCUUCUGGGGGCUUCUGGCGCUCCUCAGCUGUGGCCUGGUUUGUGUGAGUCCCACUGUCGCUGGGUCCUCUGUCGAGAGCUAUAGUUUGGGGGGUCUCCGUAAGGGAUCGGAGUCCUCUGCAGCGGCUCUCCUCAUGCUCUGGGAGUGGGGGGCACAGAACCCCUGUGAGCUCCUGAACUCAGGGUCCAGAGUGAGAGUGGCCAUGGCCCUGCUGUAGAGGCAUCAUGGGCUGUGUCUCUCCCUGUCCCCAGCACCUGGCUCGGUAUGUGGAGCAAUAUGUGGGGACCGAGGGCGCGUCCAGCUCGCCCACCGAGGGCUUCCUCCUGAAACCUGUGUUCCUGCAGAGGAACCUCAAGAAGUUCCGCCGCCGGUGGCAGAGCGAGCAGGCGCGGGCCCUGCGCGGUGAGGCCAGGAGCUCCUGGAAGCGGCUGGUGGGCGUGGAGAGUGCCUGCGACGUGGACUGCCGCUUCAAGCUCAGCACUCACAAGAUGGUGUUCAUUGUGAACUCCGAGGACUACAUGUACCGUCGCGGGACCCUCUGCCGGGCCAAGCAGGUGCAGCCCCUGGUCCUGCUCCGCCACCACCAGCACUUUGAGGAGUGGCAUAGCCGCUGGCUGGAGGACAAUGUGACGGUGGAGGCGGCCAGCCUGGUGCAGGACUGGCUGAUGGGUGAGGAGGACGAGGACAUGGUACCCUGCAAGACGCUGUGUGAGACGGUGCACGUGCAUGGCCUGCCCGUGACCCGCUACCGCGUGCAGUACAGCCGCCGCCCGGCCUCGCCGUGACCCGCCCUCAUGGGCACCGGGCAGGCGCCUCACAGAGCACAGACGUGCCCUCGGCCUUGGUCGUGUCGGGGCCGUUUUCUUGAACGACCUGAGAGGCAUCUCCCAGCCCCUCUGCUGCCGGACAGCGCACUCCAGGGCAGGACGCUGCCCCCGUGGCUCCCGGCCUCCUGUGGGCCUGCUGCGUGCCAAACCUGAGCUACCUGCACCCGAGCCCUGGGGCUCAGCCCCACCACAGGGGUGGGUGGACGUGCUGGCUGAGGAACAAGCAAUCAUGUUUGCGUCCCCAUCCGUCACAUGUGCCAAAUCCCUGGCAGGCAGAUGGCUCCUGCCCCA